rnacentral:misc_RNA from 1 species
AGAGCAGGGGUUUUACGUGGCACAUUACAGAAUGACGCAUCUCCAUGCUCAAAGGAAGCUUUAAUGGUAGUAUCACUCUUCACUAAGCAACAACUGAAGGAAGGGAAGAAACUCUGAAUUAUUAGGAUUCUGAUAAAGGAAAACUUUGAUUAUAUAAAUUGCACUAGAAGAGAGAGAAAGAUGAAGUUCGGCAAAGAGUUCAAGAAACAAAAGGUGCCUGAGUGGACUGAAGCCUAUAUGGAUUAUAA